GCAAGUCGAACGGUAACAUUUCUAGCUUGCUAGAAGAUGACGAGUGGCGGACGGGUGAGUAAUGCUUGGGAACUUGCCUUUGCGAGGGGGAUAACAGUUGGAAACGACUGCUAAUACCGCAUAAUGUCUACGGACCAAACGGGGCUUCGGCUCCGGCGCAAAGAGAGGCCCAAGUGAGAUUAGCUAGUUGGUAAGGUAACGGCUUACCAAGGCGACGAUCUCUAGCUGUUCUGAGAGGAAGAUCAGCCACACUGGGACUGAGACACGGCCCAGACUCCUACGGGAGGCAGCAGUGGGGAAUAUUGCACAAUGGGGGAAACCCUGAUGCAGCCAUGCCGCGUGUGUGAAGAAGGCCUUCGGGUUGUAAAGCACUUUCAGUUGUGAGGAAAAGUUAGUAGUUAAUACCUGCUAGCCGUGACGUUAACAACAGAAGAAGCACCGGCUAACUCCGUGCCAGCAGCCGCGGUAAUACGGAGGGUGCGAGCGUUAAUCGGAAUUACUGGGCGUAAAGCGCACGCAGGCGGUUUGUUAAGCUAGAUGUGAAAGCCCCG
rnacentral:rRNA from 1 species